GGCGCGGUGGCAGAGUGGCUAUGCAGCGGAUUGCAAAUCCGUGUAGACCGGUUCGAUUCCGGUCCGUGCCUCCA
rnacentral:tRNA from 2 species